UGAGAUGAGCCUUAAAAAACUCUUUAAACACAAAGGUUUGGUCCUGACCUUAAAAUCAAUUAUUACUUAAUUUACACAUGCAAGUUUCUGCACCCCCGUGAAAACGCCCUUAAACCCCUUCAGGGAUAAGGAGCUGGUAUCAGGCACAAUAAAUCGCCCAAAACACCUAGCUAUGCCACGCCCACAAGGGUUAACAGCAGUGAUCAAUAUUAAACAUAAACGACAGUUUGAUUUAGUUAAAGUAAAUAGAGCCGGCAAAACUGGUGCCAGCCGCCGCGGUUACACCAUGAGACUCAAAUUGAUUUAAGCCGGCGUAAAGCGUGAUUAAAGCCUCAAAAUUUUUAGGGUUGAAACUGGGCUAAGCCGUGACAUGCUUGCCCAUAAAAAACUCACACAACGAAAGUUGCCCUAAUUUAACCAACUUGAACUCACGAUAGCUGGGGCCCAAACUGGGAUUAGAUACCCCAUUAUGCCUAGCCCUAAACUUUUACUUACACCCCCUCCCACACGCCAGGGAACUACGAGCAGCGCUUAAAACCCAAAGGACUUGACGGUACCCCACAUCCACCUAGAGGAGCCUGUCCUAUAAUUGAUGACCCCCGCUAAACCUUACCACUCUUAGU
rnacentral:rRNA from 1 species